AUUGAACGCUGGCGGCAUGCCUUACACAUGCAAGUCGAACGGUAACAGGUCUUCGGAUGCUGACGAGUGGCGAACGGGUGAGUAAUACAUCGGAACGUGCCUAGUAGUGGGGGAUAACUACUCGAAAGAGUGGCUAAUACCGCAUGAGAUCUACGGAUGAAAGCAGGGGAUCGCAAGACCUUGUGCUACUAGAGCGGCCGAUGGCAGAUUAGGUAGUUGGUGGGAUAAAAGCUUACCAAGACGACGAUCUGUAGCUGGUCUGAGAGGACGAUCAGCCACACUGGGACUGAGACACGGCCCAGACUCCUACGGGAGGCAGCAGUGGGGAAUUUUGGACAAUGGGCGCAAGCCUGAUCCAGCAAUGCCGCGUGCAGGAUGAAGGCCUUCGGGUUGUAAACUGCUUUUGUACGGAACGAAAAGCCCUGGGUUAAUACCCUGGGGUCAUGACGGUACCGUAAGAAUAAGCACCGGCUAACUACGUGCAGCAGCCGCGGUAA
rnacentral:rRNA from 1 species